AAAAUGUUUGCAAGUCAUCUUACAAGGUAGCAUGGGAUCUUGGAAAUGGUCUGUGAGGCUGCAGCUUUUAAGUAUUCUAAACUGCUUUCUUCGGGCUUGAUGUCUGCAGGGCAUUCCAGGAGCAGUGGGCCAGGCUGCUACAGAGCUCCAACAGAACAGUACUGGAGCAGAAUCCAGCAGUCCUGGAUGUUCUCAAAUGUUAAGGUUGCAAAGAAUGAGUUAGUAAUCAGAAAUGUGGGGGCUUUAUGUCAGGGGGUACAUCUUGCUGCAAAAGAAGGAAUUCAUGCUCCAUAGUGCAUCAGAGCAAAGUUCAACAUCUAAGUGAGCAAGAAGUAACCUGAAACCUUUCCACCUUGUGGAAUACUCCUGAAAUAGAUCUUGCUUCUCCUUCUGGGUCCUAAAUAUCACUGAAAUCGUGAUUUUUCUUUGUUUCUUGUUUUCAGAACUAAUAAAGAUGGGAGAAGCAUUCCUAUUCUUAUUUGGAAGCAUUAGUGACCAAAGAAGUCACACAUGGAUACAGAAAAAGCCAUACUUUGAGCACAACACCAGAACCAGAAGCUUCUUGGGCUCCCUCUGUUUCUAAAGAAGAAGAUGAUGAAUAGGAAGACAACCAAACUCCAUCCAUUUUUGGACCAGAACCUGAGCAUCUGAAAUCAAUAAGAGUCUUACUCAAAUGAAAAAGCAGCAAGAUCAGCCAGUGUGCUCUGAAAGGGCCCAUCUGAUGCAAAGUUGUCUAUGGAAAUGUGAGGUGGGAGAGGGCCAGCCCCGGCCAAUGCUGAAGCCCAGCAGACCUCUGGCAGAGCAUAGAGCAGCCUCAGCAUUCGCAGCCUGGAAGAAGGAGUUUGUAGCAGCAUGCAGCAGCAGACCAGCCCUGGAUGCUUCCCUCUUCCUGGGACCAGACCAUUCAUCCCGUAUCAGAGCCAAACUGGCGGUGGGCUGCUCCCAAGAGGAAUCACAGCCAUGUGUAGCCAUGCCGUGAACUGCGCAACCUAGUAGCAUUGGCCACCUUUAGUCUGUGCAGGCGUAGAGAAGUGCCAAAGAGAGUGGUUGUGUCACUGCUGAGGAGGCUACAGAAAAGUAGAACUGACAAAUUGAAUUAGAAAUAAAGGAAUUAAAAUGCCUGGGCUGUUUUCUCACUUCCAGGAUGACUGCCACAAUGAGAGGAAGGAACAUGUCUGUGAGAAGCCAUCACCUACAGGACAAGGAAGAGUCUCUUGCCAAGAUUUAAAGAAGAAUUUUGGGCUAACAGGACUUAAAGUUGGAAUAGGGAAACUAAUGAGCUUUACUAUCUGCUUUUGUCAUAAACUUAUAGUCAUGUGUCACAGUCCAGAUGUCACCUGCCUUGUUUUUUUACCAUUUGUUUUCUUUUUUCUAUUUAAUUUAUGUAAUUGUGUUUUGAAUAGUGAAUGUAAGAGGGUUGGUUAUGUUUCAUAAUAUGUUUUUAUAAUGUUUUAUAAUAUGUUUAUAUAUUUAUAAUAUAUAAUGUUUUAUACAUGGUUUACUAGAGUUUUUAUUUGUUUUAUUAAGUUUCAUAAUAUAUAUUUUGUUAGUUAAACCAUAAUUUGUUUGCUUCCUUCAUGUUCCAAAUGCAGCAUUGACUUGGAAAAAACCCAGGCACGCACUUUGUUCUCUUUGGAAAGAACCCAGCCCCUCUCUCGGUAGAAGGGGAAUGUGAAGGUGGAUCCUUCUUCCUCCAACCUGUAGGAUUUUUUAGCUUGCUCCUAAGAAUUCCAAAACAUAAGUAUGAAACUGCAAACCCUUCAAGCCUGGGGACUGAUGCAGGUUUAACUUGCUGUUGCAUGGAAGCUCCUUUGCUUACCAGCCCAAAUAUAAACAUUUCCUUCAUUUUGCUAUUUAGAGUCCUUUUGCCACAGGAUUCCCUGGGGGUGGAUGCCAGGGUGUUGCCUGGUAUUUUACCACCCUGUGCUGCUCCCUGUAUUCCCUGUGGUGCUGCAGCCCCUGCUUCUGUGGUUCCCCUCACUCCUGGGAAUCUGAGACUAGCAGCACAUGGUCCUCAGGUUUCAGCUUUCCGAAGACAAGCAGCAGGUUUUAGUCCAGCAAGACAGAAUGUGUCAGCCCCAGAUCACUGAACCACCCGUGGUCUCCUGCCUGUACUUGUUGGAAAUGAGAUAACUUUCCAAAUUAAUAGUUUUUAUUAACUUUUUGAUUAAUUGUUUUAAUAACCACAAGUAGUGUAUUUGUUUUUAGCAGUGUAAUUUUCCAUUUUAGGCAGCACAUACCUAAUUUUUUUUAUGGACCUGUUAGACUGUUAGUGUGAUUAUUAGCUCCUCAAAAGUUUUAAGUUUUGAUAAACUAACUCUGAUAAGCUUAAAUGGACAAAGCCCUGGAGAGUUAAAGGCUGGACACCUGGAAUCCAGAAUUUAUAGCCCUCCAAGGAUGUGUUGAAGUAACCAGAAGAUAAUGAAAAGACUAAAAAAGAUGAUUCAACAGGCGCUAGAGCCUCCCUGCCUGGGAAAAAGAUAAUAAAAGAACUAAAAGAUGUGGACUAAUUAGCAUGAGAAGUCAUAAAUCACUAACUGAUAGAAGAUAGAAUAAACAUUGAUGCAAAAAUUUAGGUAAUUUAGAAGCAAUGAACAUUAACUUCUUUGCUAAAAAUGUAUAAAUAAGCGAAAAGUUUUGAAAGUCGCAUGCAUCUGGGUGGAGCACCCCACCUGGAAUAAACUAAUGCCUACUUUCUAAUACUACCAAAAGUGUUAGAGACUUUCAUUUAUCCCGUUUUUUGGCAACAUAGUGGCAAGCAGUGGGAAGCAGCUGGCAGCAAAACUUCAGAAGCUGUCAGAGAGUGAGAGCAGGAGUGACUGUGGGAAUAGGACAGCAGGCAUUUCAGCAGGAAUGAUGGCAAAG